rnacentral:rRNA from 1 species
UCUGAUGUUAGCGGCGGACGGGGGAGUAACACGUGGAUAACCUACCUAUAAGACUGGGAUAACUUCGGGAAACCGGAGCUAAUACCGGAUAAUAUUUUGAACCGCAUGGUUCAAAAGUGAAAGACGGUCUUGCUGUCACUUAUAGAUGGAUCCGCGCUGCAUUAGCUAGUUGGUAAGGUAACGGCUUACCAAGGCAACGAUGCAUAGCCGACCUGAGAGGGUGAUCGGCCACACUGGAACUGAGACACGGUCCAGACUCCUACGGGAGGCAGCAGUAGGGAAUCUUCCGCAAUGGGCGAAAGCCUGACGGAGCAACGCCGCGUGAGUGAUGAAGGUCUUCGGAUCGUAAAACUCUGUUAUUAGGGAAGAACAUAUGUGUAAGUAACUGUGCACAUCUUGACGGUACCUAAUCAGAAAGCCACGGCUAACUACGUGCCAGCAGCCGCGGUAAUACGUAGGUGGCAAGCGUUAUCCGGAAUUAUUGGGCGUAAAGCGCGCGUAGGCGGUUUUUUAAGUCUGAUGUGAAAGCCCACGGCUCAACCGUGGAGGGUCAUUGGAAACUGGAAAACUUGAGUGCAGAAGAGGAAAGUGGAAUUCCAUGUGUAGCGGUGAAAUGCGCAGAGAUAUGGAGGAACACCAGUGGCGAAGGCGACUUUCUGGUCUGUAACUGACGCUGAUGUGCGAAAGCGUGGGGAUCAAACAGGAUUAGAUACCCUGGUAGUCCACGCCGUAAACGAUGAGUGCUAAGUGUUAGGGGGUUUCCGCCCCUUAGUGCUGCAGCUAACGCAUUAAGCACUCCGCCUGGGGAGUACGACCGCAAGGUUGAAACUCAAAGGAAUUGACGGGGACCCGCACAAGCGGUGGAGCAUGUGGUUUAAUUCGAAGCAACGCGAAGAACCUUACCAAAUCUUGACAUCCUUUGACAACUCUAGAGAUAGAGCCUUCCCCUUCGGGGGACAAAGUGACAGGUGGUGCAUGGUUGUCGUCAGCUCGUGUCGUGAGAUGUUGGGUUAAGUCCCGCAACGAGCGCAACCCUUAAGCUUAGUUGCCAUCAUUAAGUUGGGCACUCUAAGUUGACUGCCGGUGACAAACCGGAGGAAGGUGGGGAUGACGUCAAAUCAUCAUGCCCCUUAUGAUUUGGGCUACACACGUGCUACAAUGGACAAUACAAAGGGCAGCGAAACCGCGAGGUCAAGCAAAUCCCAUAAAGUUGUUCUCAGUUCGGAUUGUAGUCUGCAACUCGACUACAUGAAGCUGGAAUCGCUAGUAAUCGUAGAUCAGCAUGCUACGGUGAAUACGUUCCCGGGUCUUGUACACACCGCCCGUCACACCACGAGAGUUUGUAACACCCGAAGCCGGUGGAGUAACCUUUUAGGAGCUAGCCGUCGAAGGUGGGACAAAUGAUUGGGGUGAAGUCGUAACAAGGUAGCCGUAUCGGAAGGUGCGGCUG